GCUAAGAUAGUAAAGCAUUUCCCUUACACCGAAAAGCCCUCCGUGCAAAUCGGAGUACCCUGAAGCCCAUCAGCUAGCUCAUGCACUAAAGUAAACCCACCCUACUUAUAUCUUAAAAUAACCCAAACUUGAAAAACAAAACAUUUAACCUUUCUAGUAAAGGCGAUUGAAAUAAAAAAUGAAGCUAUAAUAAAGUACCGUAAGGGAAAGCUGAAAAAGAAAUGAAAAAAAUCAGUAAAGCACAAAAAAGCAAAGAUUAUCUCUUGUACCUCUUGCAUCAUGGUUUAGUUAGUCCUCCUUAAGCGAAAAGAUUUUUAGUUUAAGCCCCCGAAACCAGGGGAGCUACCCCGAGACUGUCUAUUUAUAUAGGACUAACCCUUCUCUGUGGCAAGAGAGUGGGGUGAACUCUGGGUAGAGGUGAUAAACCUACCGAACCUGGUGAUAGCUGGUUACCUGAGAAAUGAAUAGAAGUUCAGCGUUUACUUUUCUUCAAACAACUGCAUCUUACAGUAAAAAGAAACUUAAAUAGUUAGUUUAAAGGGGUCCAGCCCUUUAAACAAAGGAAACAACCUUUUUAGGCGGAUAAAGCUUACAUAAACAAAAGGCAGAGUACACACGU
rnacentral:rRNA from 1 species